UACCCCGAAAUCUGGAAUAACCGGCCGAAAGGCUGGCUAAUACUGGAUAGAGCGACGGAAUCCGUAAUGGGUUUUUCGGAAGGAGGGAGCAAUCCCCUUCGUUUCGGGAUGAGCCUGCGUCUCAUUAGCUAGUUGGCGGGGUAAUGGCCCACCAAGGCAUUGAUGAGUAGCUGGUCUGAGAGGAUGAUCAGCCACACUGGAACUGAAACACGGUCCAG
rnacentral:rRNA from 1 species